UUGGAGCUAUUCCGGCUGGGCUUCUUUCUUUGCUUGCGUGCUCUCUCUCUCUGUAUGUAUAUAGCGGUAUACUACCUAUAUGGGAAGGACGCACCUCUGGUGUACCAGUUAUCAUGCCUACGGUAAAUGCUGGGUAGCCAAGUGUGGAGAGGAUAACUGCUAAAAGCAUAUAAGUAGUAAACCCACCCUAAAAUGAGUGCUCUCUCCUCCGACUUCCCUAGAGCCUCCGGUAGCACAGCAGAGAUAGCGACAGGUUCUCCACCUAUACGGGGAUGGAGCGACAGAAGUAUGGAAAUAGGAUAAGGUAGCGGCGAGACAAACCGUUUAAACAGGAGUGGAAGUGCAGUGAUGUAUGCAACUGAGGCAUCCUAACGAACGA
rnacentral:ncRNA from 1 species